UACGGGGGGGGUAAGCGUUGUUCGGAAUUACUGGGCGUAAAGGGCGCGUAGGCGGCCUUCUAAGUCGAACGUGAAAUCCCCGGGCUCAACCCGGGAACUGCGUCCGAUACUGGAAGGCUUGAAUUCGGGAGAGGAAUGCGGAAUUCCAGGUGUAGCGGUGAAAUGCGUAGAUAUCUGGAGGAACACCGGUGGCGAAGGCGGCAUCCUGGACCAUUACUGACACUGAAAAGCGAAAGCCAGGGGAGCAAACGGG
rnacentral:rRNA from 1 species